CGCGUAGCUCAGUUGGAAGAGCAUUGGGCUAGUAUUCCAAAGGUCGUAGGUUCGAAUCCCACCGUG